rnacentral:rRNA from 1 species
GAUGAACGCUGGCGGCGUGCCUAAUACAUGCAAGUCGAGCGAACAGACGAGGAGCUUGCUCCUCUGACGUUAGCGGCGGACGGGUGAGUAACACGUGGAUAACCUACCUAUAAGACUGGGAUAACUUCGGGAAACCGGAGCUAAUACCGGAUAAUAUAUUGAACCGCAUGGUUCAAUAGUGAAAGACGGUUUUGCUGUCACUUAUAGAUGGAUCCGCGCCGCAUUAGCUAGUUGGUAAGGUAACGGCUUACCAAGGCAACGAUGCGUAGCCGACCUGAGAGGGUGAUCGGCCACACUGGAACUGAGACACGGUCCAGACUCCUACGGGAGGAAGCAGUAGGGAAUCUUCCGCAAUGGGCGAAUGCCUGACGGAGCAACGCCGCGUGAGUGAUGAAGGUCUUCGGAUCGUAAAACUCUGUUAUUAGGGAAGAACAAAUGUGUAAGUAACUAUGCACGUCUUGACGGUACCUAAUCAGAAAGCCACGGCUAACUACGUG